rnacentral:tRNA from 1 species
GGAGCCGUCGCAUAGUGGCCUAGUGCGCACGCUUGGAAAGCGUGUUGGGUGUGAUAGCCCUCGGGGGUUCGAAUCCCCCCGGCUCCG